rnacentral:rRNA from 1 species
GAUGAACGCUAGCGGCAGGCCUAACACAUGCAAGUCGAGGGGUAGAACACUUCGGUGUUUGAGACCGGCGCACGGGUGCGUAACGCGUAUGCAACCUACCUACAUCAGGGGGCUAGGCCUAGGAAACUGGGAUUAACACCGCAUAAUAGUAUUGAUGGCAUCAUUGAUAUUUGAAAUAUUUAUAGGAUGUAGAUGGGCAUGCGUAAGAUUAGCUAGUGGGUAAGGUAACGGCUUACCAAGGCUACGAUCUUUAGGGGCUGUGAGAGGAGUAUCCCCCACACGGGCACUGGGAUACGGGCCAGACUCCUACGGGAGGCAGCAGUAGGGAAUAUUGGGCAAUGGAGGCAACUCUGACCCAGCCAUGCCGCGUGCAGGAAGACGGCCCUCUGGGUUGUAAACUGCUUUUGAAUGGGAGGAAUGUGAUGUUUGCGAGCAUUAAUGACGGUACCAUUAGAAUAAGCCACGGCUAACUACGUGCCAGCAGCCGCCGUAA